rnacentral:rRNA from 1 species
CUUUCUCUAUCCAUGGGAUUGAUUGGCAUUAUCUGCGAUGAAGGACGUGCUGGAGGACGAUAUGCCGUUUUUUUUAGCGGAUGUCUGAAUUAGGUGUUUG